UACAGAGGGUGCGAGCGUUAAUCGGAAUUACUGGGCGUAAAGGGCGCGUAGGUGGUUGCGUAAGAUUGAUGUGAAAUCCCUGGGCUUAACCUAGGAACUGCAUCGAUGACUGCGUAGCUAGAGUACUGUAGAGGGUAGUGGAAUUUCCGGUGUAGCGGUGAAAUGCGUAGAUAUUCGCAAGAACACCAGUGGCGAAGGCGGCUCACUGGCCCGGUACUGACGCUGAGGUGCGAAAGCGUGGGGAGCAAACAGG
rnacentral:rRNA from 1 species